AGUGAACGCUGGCGGUAGGCCUAACACAUGCAAGUCGAACGGCAGCACAGUAAGAGCUUGCUCUUACGGGUGGCGAGUGGCGGACGGGUGAGGAAUACAUCGGAAUCUACUUUUUCGUGGGGGAUAACGUAGGGAAACUUACGCUAAUACCGCAUACGACCUACGGGUGAAAGCAGGGGAUCUUCGGACCUUGCGCGAUUGAAUGAGCCGAUGUCGGAUUAGCUAGUUGGCGGGGUAAAGGCCCACCAAGGCGACGAUCCGUAGCUGGUCUGAGAGGAUGAUCAGCCACACUGGAACUGAGACACGGUCCAGACUCCUACGGGAGGCAGCAGUGGGGAAUAUUGGACAAUGGGGGCGAGCCUGAUACAGCCAUACCGCGUGGGUGAAGAAGGCGUUCGGGUUGGAAAGCCCUUUUGUUGGGAGAGAAAAGCAGCAGGUUAAUACCCCGCUGUUCUGACGGUACCCAAAGAAUAAGCACCGGCUAACUUCGUG
rnacentral:rRNA from 1 species